AUUGAACGCUGGCGGCAUGCUUUACACAUGCAAGUCGAACGGCAGCGCGGGCUUCGGCCUGGCGGCGAGUGGCGAACGGGUGAGUAAUACAUCGGAACGUGCCCAGUAGUGGGGGAUAGCUCGGCGAAAGCCGGAUUAAUACCGCAUACGACCUGAGGGUGAAAGCGGGGGAUCUUCGGACCUCGCGCUAUUUGAGCGGCCGAUGGCAGAUUAGCUAGUUGGUGGGGUAAAGGCCUACCAAGGCGACGAUCUGUAGCUGGUCUGAGAGGACGACCAGCCACACUGGGACUGAGAAACGGCCCAGACUCCUACGGGAGGCAGCAGUGGGGAAUUUUGGACGAUGGGCGAAAGCCUGAUCCAGCAAUGCCGCGUGUGUGAUGAAGGCCUUCGGGUUGUAAAGCACUUUUGGCGGGAACGAAAAGGACUGUGCCAAUACCACGGUUCGAUGACGGUACCCGCAGAAUAAGCACCGGCUAACUACGUG
rnacentral:rRNA from 1 species